UGGGGAAUAUUGGACAAUGGGCGCAAGCCUGAUCCAGCCAUGCCGCGUGUGUGAAGAAGGCCUUUUGGUUGUAAAGCACUUUAAGCGAGGAGGAGGCUACUUGGAUUAAUACUCUAGGAUAGUGGACGUUACUCGCAGAAUAAGCACCGGCUAACUCUGUGCCAGCAGCCGCGGUAAUACAGAGGGUGCGAGCGUUAAUCGGAUUUACUGGGCGUAAAGCGUGCGUAGGCGGCUUCUUAAGUCGGAUGUGAAAUCCCUGAGCUUAACUUAGGAAUUGCAUUAGAUACUGGGGAGCUAGAGUAUGGGAGAGGAUGGUAGAAUUCCAGGUGUAGCGGUGAAAUGCGUAGAGAUCUGGAGGAAUACCGAUGGCGAAGGCAGCCAUCUGGCCUAAUACUGACGCUGAGGUACGAAAGCAUGGGGAGCAAACAGG
rnacentral:rRNA from 1 species